AUGAUUCCAUUCUUUGCAUUUUCUUCGCUCAUGACAAUGUCUCACCAUCUCAGUCUCGUAUCUUCUUUGAACGACGCGACUCAAGCUUCUCAUCUCGCAGCUCAGACUUCUCGUCAUCGCUUCUGUUCGAUUUUACCACGGGCACCUCCACCUUCUUCUCCUUCGCACUUCGCUUCAUACGGAGCAGCUCAUCCGUCAACAUCUUCGCCUCAGCUUCGAUUCCGCUUAUUCACUCUCAGUCUCAUUCGCGGUUGUGUUUCAGCUUCAUAA